AAGCGAGCCCGCGAGGGGGAGCGAAUCCCAAAAAUAACGUCUCAGUUCGGAUUGUAGUCUGCAACUCGACUACAUGAAGCUGGAAUCGCUAGUAAUCGCGGAUCAGAAUGCCGCGGUGAAUACGUUCCCGGGUCUUGUACACACCGCCCGUCACACCAUGGGAGUCGGGAAUGCCCGAAGCCGGUGGCCCAACCUUAGGGAGGGAGCCGUCGAAGGCAGGCCCGGUGACUGGGGUGAAGUCGUAACAAGGUACC
rnacentral:rRNA from 1 species